UACUAUUCCCAACUUCAUAUUCAACAUGACUGAGAGUUCCUUGAGACAGUUGAGGAUAUUCCCAAGUCGGAGAAAGAAAUUAUCUAUCCUAAACAACAUAAGUGGUUUUCUACGGCCAUCAAGGUUGACGCUGCUUUUGGGUCCGCCUAGCUCUGGAAAAACAACAUUGCUUUUGGCACUUGCUGGCCGUCUUGAUAAGAAUUUGAUGAUAUCAGGAAGAGUCACUUACAAUGGACAUGAUCUGAAGGAGUUUGUUCCUCAAAGGACGGCUGCAUAUGUCAGCCAGAGGGAUUCACACAUCGCAGAAAUGACAGUUAGAGAGACACUUGAGUUUUCUGGACGUUGCCAGGGUGUCG
rnacentral:misc_RNA from 1 species